GCUAACAUAAUAGAGGGGUGCUAGCUGCAUAGAUCGACUGAAGGCACAGCUCAAAGAAAGUUCAGAUUACACCUUUGAAAUGUUUAUGGUUGCUGAUACAUGGAAGAAGAACAAGAUAACAGAUUAUCCAUAUGAAAUCAAGAUUACGCAUCGCUCAAAGAUCCAAUAGAUUAUCCCACUUGAGGUCCUCCAAGCAUGUACUGUCAACAACACUUCUAUCUGAUGUUGGUUUAGUGGAUGUGGUGACAGAUAUCAUACCAUAAGAAACAAAUCAAGACCCAAGAACAAAUAUUCACCUUAUCGACACAAGAUUGUGGGCAAUCAUAUAUAUGAGAUACAAUUGAUGUUUAAUAAUAUUCACUUCAUGGCAGAAUGCCUCACUAUUUGUGUGUGGGAAAAGGAACUCUACAUAUGGAUAAACUGCGUGGACCGCCGGUCAAGGAGAUGUUGCGUCGUCGCCGGCCUCGUCAUGGCUGCUCAUCAAGUCGGCGGCGACCGCUCCCACGGUUGCAUUACCACUAAUGAGCUGGGAACUGUCAUGCGUUCCCUGGGUCAGAAUCCUACUGAGCCAGAGCUUCAAGGCAUGAUCAAUGAGUCUGCAACAAAACAGAUACGUCCGAGCUCACGUCAUCCUCGACAAGUCUUAAGAUCUUUGAAUCCUCCCCUUGAUGGUGAUGUGAAAAUAAAUGUUGAUGUUGCUCUGGCUCGCUAUGACGACCGUGGGGUGGUAGCUGCAAUUUGCCGUAGAUCGGAUGGUGUUUAUUUGGGUUCAUCAGCUCUUGAUUGCCCUGGUUUUUCAUAGCCAGCCAUAUUGGAAACAUUUGCUUGUGAGGAAGGCCUUGACCUCGCUGCCGAUCUCCAAGAAACAAGAUGUGUCAUAGCUUCAGAUUGCCAAGAGGUUAUCAGAGCAAAGAAGCAUGACUUCCAUCCUGCAUGAAAUAAAAUUCUGGAGUGAAGCUUUUAUUGAUGUUACGUUCAUUCAUGAAAAUGCAGUUCUGCAGCUUUUGAAAGAUUACCAAAGAUGCUCAUGGAUUCAAUUAGUUUGGGAAAAGAUGGUACACAAAUCAGAGUAUUUGGAAGAAAGGCGUCCAGGCUGUGCUCGUGUUGGUGCCAAGAACAAUCUUGCCAGAAGAUGUGACUGAACCAACAACAUGAACCAACAACAGGGAUCAAGUUCCCUACCCUUCUUGAGGACAAUUCAAACCGAACCGCAGUACCUUCUUCAGUUCCUUCUCAGGUAACAGUUCAGGACGACGGCGAUCUUGUUCAGGGGAGGACGGCGAUCUUAUCCAGGGAGCAGAGGACCUCGCCGUCGCAGCAGCUGGUGGCGCAGGGAGGAGGCCGAGCCAUUGACGACAAGCUCGGUGGCAGGGCCGCGAGUGGGCGAGCGCCGGGAGCAGCGGCGCAGUGGAGGACCAGCUGGACGACAACGACAAGCUCGAUGAGCGCGAAGAGCAGCGGCGCAGCGGAGGACCAGCAGCGCAGCUAAGCAGGAGGAGGUCGUGGGCGAUGGCGUAGUGCUGCUAGCCGGCAAGCGGCGCGCGGCGCUCACGCCGAGCAGAGGAGGACCAGCGGUAUCCGCGGAGCAGAGAGCAGUCGGCGGUGAGCGAGGCGAACUCGGGCAGGGGGCGCGCGGAGCAGAGGGCAGCCGGCGGCGAGAUCGAUCACGAUCACGAUCACGAUCACGAUCACGACGGGGACGACGGUCCCAGAUGCGGGAGCUCUAUAAUCGUUGUGUUUGCUAACCUCACCCCCGUCAUAUUUGCUGAUUGAUCGGUCGCCGGGAGCGAUGGCGAGCUGAUUCAUCGAUGGUGGAAGGGGGAGGUUGAGGACGGAGACGGGAAGAUUGAAUCUUGGAAUUCAAGUUCGAUGUCCUACUUUGAAGCGUUUUUAGUGUUUUAGGACUUUUUUGCAAAAACUGUUUUGUACUGCGGGUCCGACACUCUCCGCGGGACGGAGGGAGUACUAUAUUUUUCCAUUUCUAUUUGUCAAAUGUUGCUUUGAAUAUUGAGGUGAUACAUUAGCAAAUGGAGACAAUGUACUAGAUAUUUCUAUACCUAUGAUCCAAAUGUUACUUUGCACUA